rnacentral:lncRNA from 1 species
GUCUCCUCCAGAAAACCAACCUCCACUUUUCAUCAAACUUCCACAGCCCAACACCCUCCUCCUCCGCAACCAGUAAUGGCAGCCACCUCCUCCGCCUUGUUCUCAGCCCCGUCCAUCUCCUCCACAGCCACAAGGCACCACCAAACCCUAUCACCAACCCAAAUCUCCUUCCAAGGCCUCAGACCCCUCACCAAGUCCUCCCCUCCCACCAAGCUUGGUUUGCAUGCACCCAGCACCAGGAGAAGUUCAUGCGUCGUCAAAGCUGAGCUGAACCCAUCACUGGUCAUCAGCCUGAGCACCGGACUCUCUCUCUUCCUUGGGAGGUUUGUUUUCUUCAACUUCCAGAGAGAGAAUGUGGCCAAGCAAGGGUUGCCGGAGCAGAACGGGGUGACGCACUUUGAGGCUGGGGACACUAGGGCUAAGGAGUAUGUGAGCCUCCUCAAGUCUAAUGACCCUGUUGGGUUCAACAUUGUGGAUGUUUUGGCUUGGGGUUCUAUCGGUCACAUCGUGGCUUACUACAUCUUGGCCACCUCUAGCAAUGGCUAUGAUCCCAAGUUCUUUGAAUAAAUAUUAUCAUUUUGAAUUUAAAUUUGAGUUGAAUCCAUAUCAUGUUGUUGUGAGGUCUCUCUCUUGUUUGUAAUUUGUAUAGCUUAUCAAUGAAUCGCUAGUUUGGGAAGUUCUUAUGCUUUUCUUUGUUGUUUUAUUUUUUGUUUCGUGGUUCUUCGAAGUAACAACACUAGAGGCAGGACUAUAGCCAAUUAAGUUCUUCGUUUUGAGUUUGAAUGCAUGUGUUUUGUUGGAAUUUGGAAUUUACUACUUGCUAUUAUUUCAUGUUCUCAAAGGUAUCCAAAUCCAUCAUGCAAUGCACUCUUUCAAAUCUUUGGAUUGAACCCCCCUUGAGGCAUCAACAACUAUGAUGAAUUUGGGACAUUCCUUAUUUCAUAGUUUUGGAGUACCAUUCUUUUUCGGGUAAAUUGUUGUUUGACCCCCUGAACUAUUUUUUUGGUAAAUUAACCUCCUAAACUAUUUAAAAUCAGCCAAUUAACCCCUUAACGUUAGACGUCCAUUAUUUUGUCAAAUUCAAGGGCAAAUUAGUCUUUUUGUCAUCAAUUUGUACAUGUCACUUAUAACUACCAAUAAAAUUAUGACACGUGGACACAGAAUAACGUGUAAUGACAAUGUAAAAUGGUCUGUUAUGCAAACGUUUGGUUUCUUUAUGUUUCUUAUUAUGCUAUAAGUUUUUGAAUUAUUCUGUGUCCACGUGUCAUUAUUUUAUUGGUGGUUAUAACUAACUAGUAAGAAUUGAUGAUAAAAAAGAUUAAUUUGCCCUUGAAUCUGACGGAAUAGUGGACGGAAUCUAACGAAAAAUGGUUAAUUGGCUGCUUUUAAAUAGUUCGGGGAGUUAAUUUACCAAAAAAUUAGUUUAGGGGGUCAAUUUCAACUAAAGUAAUAAUUUAAGGGGUCAAACCGCAUUUACCCUUCUUUUUCGGAUACUCUUAAUAUGGUGAUGCAACAAAAUUAAUUUGAUUAUGGACAUUCACCUCUCCCAGACCCUGCGUAAAGCGGGAGCCUUGUGCACUGGGUACGACCUUUUUAUAUGUUUUUUUUAUCGACAAAAAGAUAUUUUUAACUAUUUUAAUUUAUGCGAAAUGAGGUUUGAAUUUGGAUGAAAAGGAGCUAUCACUUGACUAAAUGACCUGACUUACAUGUUUAAGCCCACAUAAGCGUAGUUUCUUCACUCAAAUUAAAAGUUAGAAAAAAAUACAGAAAUCUACUAAAUUCAGGCAAAAUCGAUGAACUUAAACAUAUCAUGAAUAUAAUCAUCUAAUUUUUGGAACUUUAGCACGAUUUAUAUUAUGAUGAAAUCCUUAUGAUUUCAUAAAAAAUGUUACUCUUAUCUUAUCACAUUUUUCAUACCACGUUUAUAACACUUCGUAUUCGUAAGCCCUAUUUCUAUUAGAGAAGUGAUACAAUUAUGAUAUGUAUCAUUUACUCUUAGAAAUCACAUUCUAUACUCCGUCUUCUUUCUCUUUUCCCUUGGAACUUAAUAUGCUCUUUCAUAUUUCUACUUUUAUUAACAGAAAAAGGAGUAAAAGGAAGGGGUCCAAACUGUACAGAAUCUUAUUAAUUUUAGCCAACAAAAGUACCUAUCAUGGCUUUGCCUUCCCAAAUAUGUGUUUUACCAAAACCAUCAGCCCAUCCCCAUUCUUCAUCUACACUCAAAAUAUUUCUCUUCAGUUAGUUAAAAACAUUUUAUCUAAAAUCUAAGCUUUUGAUUUCGAAUCUUUAUAUCUAUUUGUCUCCACUCUUGUGUAAAUACAAGUUUAAAUUUUCUUAUCAUAAAUUUUGAAUUAAUUUAUAUUAUCGUUUGUAUCGACAACCAAUAAAUAAAGUUUCAAUCUUUAAUUAUUAGGAAAGUAUUCUAGGGCCUAGUCAUAUCCAAUAUCUUAGGAAAAGGAUCAUCUUUGUGGGAUCCGAGGGAUCAAGCAAUCACGGUCGUUGCAUCAUAUAUCAUGCUAUUAUAAAUCAGUUUAAAUUUAAAAUUGAAUAUAAAUAGUAUAUAAUGAAAAUUAAACGCAUGAUAUACGAUGAACAGUCGUGAUUGCUUGAUCCCCGAAUCUCCACAUGCUUUUCCAAUAUCUUUAUAUAAUCAUAUAAUUUGACUAAAAUAAAAAGGGUGGUCCGUGCCUUCUGGUAAUCUAGCAUCUUAAUCCAUCAAAUCUUUACCCUCCCUUUUUUCUCUCUAACAAAAUGUCUGAGGUCCCAACACCAAAAAUUACAGAAAAGGAGAAGCCUUCUUCUUCCUCAGCCACUUCAGCUCACCAACAACAACUCCUCUCUCUCCCCGCCAAUGGGUCUUCUCUCUCAUCCCCCGCCUCCGCUCCAAAGGCUUAUCCUUCACCCACAGCAACGUACGAGGAAGUCGUUCAAAGCUCCGACCUUUUCUGGGAAAAGCUCAAGGAGUUUCACGAUUCGUUCAGAACCAAAUUCAUGUACGUUUUGGGUUUUGUCCCUUUUGUGAAAGCUUUGAUUUUGUAUAUUUGGGUCGUUUGGUGAAUUGGGUUGUGUUUGUUUUGCUGUUUUGGGUCUUGAUAUGUUGGCAGAAUUGGAAAAUUAUAGUUUGUAUUGACAUUGAAUUUGCGUGUUGCUACUACAGUUGACUGGUUUGAUCAAUUCAUGUAAUUUGGCUCGGUUCGUUUUUCUUACAACUUAGAUUUCGUUUUGUUGGGCUAUUUGAUGAAUUGGGUGGGUUGUUUUUGUUUUGCUAUUUUGGGUCUUAAUAUGUUGGAAUAAUUGGAAAAUUAUAUAUUUGUGUCGUGUUUUUAUCUUUUCAUUGCCUCACUUGGACUAUUGGAUCUAACGGAAGACAUGACACAAAACUGAGCGUGGCAUUCUAGGAUUCAUAUAGCCGACUCUGCUUAGUGGGAUAAGAUUUUGUUGUUGUUGUAUUGCCUCACUUGAUAUACUUCCAUUGUUUUUGCAUGUUGCAUGCUUCAAUUGACUGGUUUUAAUCAAAACUAUGUUGCCUAUUCCUCGGUUUGAAUUGAUUGAAUGGUGACUGACUGAAAAUUUUGGACUGCAUUGUACACAUUGUUUCGAGUAUUUUUAGCAAAGUCAGGAUAUUUUUUUUGGGAUUCUAGAAGUUCAGUUGAAUGCUGAUAUCAAAUUUAUAUCCCCUGUGGUGUCUCUCUCUAUUUGAGUUUGAGUUAGGGAUGGUGGACAAUGAGCAAUCCCGAGAUUUAUUGCAAUGCAAUUCAUCAUUUCCACAUACCACCUAUAAUAUUGGCUCACGUUAUCCUUCUUUUUUCUUUGCCAUUAGUAAGAUUAUUGUUUCUUACCAAGAUCUGAGUUUGUCAUUCAUGAGAGAUGCUUCAUUCAAGAAAAUUGGAAUUUCCCAAAUCUUCGUUAGUCAUUGUUUCCUUUGCAUAACUUUAAUAAAUGGGGAUUUGAUUUUCUUGAUGUCUACUUUUGAGCUGAAAUUUUCCAUGUAUGCAGCAUUACUAGACCAAAAACAGCACCAUGUCGUGGAGAAAUUACGACAGUUUCCUUUUUGAGGAUUUAAGAAUUGCUAAUUUAUUUUAGUAUGCUAUCUUUUGAUGUUGGUAUUUUUUAGCUGUUAUAACCUUAUAUUUCUUCAUUCUUAUUUUGUGGUCAUGGAAACCUACUUUCCAUGUUGAGAUAUUAAUGCGUCUUCAAUUGCUUAGUUUAUUGCUUAUCCUUGUGAAUUUGCAUUUGGUUUUGAUACCUUACAGAAGCAUAAAUAGGCUUUUUGGUAACUAGGAAAAGUUAUCAGUGAUGGUCAGUGAAAUCCUGAAACUGGGUCAUUUUAUGAGAUGUCUGAAAGUAUUUCUUCAUUAGUAUUGAAGUAGGUUAGUUUGAAGGAUACAGUCUAAGGGGUGCAGAAAUAAGCUGUUUAUGAAUGUGGACUUUGUCAUGCCACGAUUCUUUUUGUGCAUCAGAAACCGUUCCUAAACUGCUGUGCUGAUUGUAUAACUUAUUUCCUUUCAUAGUUUAUAGGCAUUGAUGAAAACUUAGUUAGGACGGCCUGGCUUGAACAGGAUCUGUCCUAUAGGAUCAUAUGUCUGAGUCCUUGAGUUCAUGAAAAUUUAGUGUAAAGUACAGAAAAAACGGAAAGUCCAUGAGGAUAAGAUUAGCCCUCUUUGUGCAGGAUUCCUACCGUAGGAGGAAAAACUCUGGAUCUACAUCUCCUUUUUGUAGAAGUCACAUCUCGUGAUGGGCUUGAAAAGGUUCGUUCAUUUUGCUUUUCUGUUUAAUGGUUGUUUAUAUGAGAUUCUUAAGCUGAGUUAAACUUAUUGCCUAUGUUAAUCUUCAUCCUUUUCUUUUCUCCCUUAUUUUGGAGCCAUUCUAAAGUUCCUUUUUUAUGUUUUGAAUUUUAUUUCACUUUAAAUUCUCUUAAACUGGUUACAGGUGAUUAGAGAUCGCAAAUGGAAGGAAGUGAUUACAGCCUUCAAUUUCCCAACAACAAUUACCAGUGCUUCGUUUGUCUUACGGAAGUACUACUUGUCUUUGCUGUAUCACUUUGAGCAGGCCUAUUAUUUCCACAAAGAAGUUUAUAGCAUACCAGUGCUUGGUAAUUGAAGACAGGGGUCCUUGUUGAUUUUGUGUCAUUUCAUGUAUUUUAUUGAUUGGAAAAUAUAUGGUUUUCUUGUUUCCUUUUUGCCAGAGCCUCUAAGGAAGAACCUUUUCAAUGGGUCAGCCACCGUGGAGGAAGGUGCAAGUAGAAACCAAUUUCCAGGUCAGGGUAGGCUUAACCUCCAUCUCGAUGUUAUGGUUCUAAUAGUGGUUGCGCCACACUAGUUGUAGAAGUAGAACCAUAUAACUAUGAGUAUGUUUUCUCUUUGGUGUCUACAUUAAACUGUAAGUUUCCAGAAAACCUUUUAUGUGCAAUUGUAGAGUAUACCUCCUGUUGACAAUUCUCAGAAGAAAUCGUAUGAAAUAAUUCUGUAACUUCUUAAAGUUAGAUAGUUGAAUAAAAAAAUUUCUUGCUAGUGGUCAAGCUUUUCUGAUGGCCCUUUUGAGAUAAUCUUCGGAAAGCUGCAAUGAAAUAGAUAAACAACAUAGGAACUUCUAUUAAGAAAUAUGGAUGAACCACAUUGUAAAUUUUAUAGGGAAUCUGUCUUAUAACUUUAUGACUUGCUAUGAUGCUUUUACUGUCGUCUUUCUAAUUCAGUAUCAUUAUUUCCUAGUUCCUUGACCUUAUUGAUAGCAUCUAGUUAUUUGAUCUGCAAGGCCGUGAAUUAAUUGCAAUAUGGAUCUGUUUUCUCUAUCUUAUGUACAGAAAGCACAGAAGUGCAGCUUGGUUGUUCAAUCAUGGGAACCAUUGAUGGGAAAUUUGACAGUGGAUAUCUGGCUACUGUCAACUUGGGUUCUGAUGAACUGAAAGGUGUCUUGUAUCAUGCUCCUACAUCUACAUAUGUUUCUCAGAGCUUUUCGGACAUGCCUACUCGACGGAACCGAAAGAGAUCCAGGUUGGCAUUACGUGAUCCCUUUCGGCCCAAGUCAAACAGGAGUGGUUACAAUUUCUUCUUCGCUGAGCAUUAUGCCAGAUUAAAACCUUUGUACUAUGGGCAAGAGAGAGCCAUCAGCAAGAAAAUUGGGUAUCUAUGGAACAAUCUCACAGAGGCUGAGAAACAGGUAUAGUGAGUUGGUGACAUUUUUUUUUUUUUUUUUUUUUUUUUUCAGUUAGUCCUUUUUCGCUCGUAACGUCCCAAGCUAAUUUCAUUAUCGUAUAUUUGUGUUCCGGUAUAGAUCUAAGGUUUGAGAAGAAGUUUCACAUGCUUGGAUAGAAUUACUAUUUUCAUCUCCUUUUGUGUUGAUUCUCAACACUUCUAACUUGCGGUAUAUUGGAAGUCUUCUUGAAGUGUUCAUCAUAACACUCCGUUGCUGCGUUGCAGGUUUAUCAGGAUAAAGCGAUGAAGGACAAGGAGAGAUACAGGACCGAACUGCUGGAAUAUAAAUCUUCCUACAAUCCUACGCAGCAAUAGCCUCCAUGUUCGUUAGAUAGGCAACUUGUUUCGUAGGCAUCAUUUUCCUCUCUUGUAUGCCUUUUUGUAGUAGUUGUCAUCGUUGCCGGUAUUUAACCUAGUUCGGUUUUCAUUUUUCUUUGGUAAGGUUACCCCUCAGUAUGCCCCAUCCGCGGAAAAGAAUUGCGGAAGGGGUGAAAGGGGGCAGCUCUUUGUAACAGCUGUUGAAUUUGCCUUCACUUUGGAUUAGUAGGAUUCCAUUGCAGUGACGAUCUUUGAUAUUUCUUGACAUUCCAAUGUAACAAUAGUAAUUCCUGGAACUGCAGUCUAAAAUUUAAGGGAGCUUAUUUUCACACACAAUCUUUAGCCUUCUACACAGCCCUCACACAUAUUCCUGACAUCGGAUUGAAUAAAUGAAAUAGAAAACACGAUUCGGAUUGAAUAAAUGAAAUAGAAAACACGAUUAGGAUUAAAUAAGCGUGUAGGAGGAGAAAAAUUAUUUGUAAUUUCCAAAAUUUAUAGGUGGAUUGAAAAGUUUUGAACAUUAUGCAAUGUUUACGAGCUCGUUUGAAAGUGCUUUUAAAAUGACUGAAUGCUCUUUUGGUGAAAUUGAUUUUGGGUUCCAAAAGUACUCAAGUGCCUUUUGGAAGAAAUACCAGAUAUGUACUUUUUCAAGAAAGCACUUAAAUGUUUUUUCAUGAUCUACUUGGAUUUUUACUAAAUAUUGGUUUUAAAAACAUUUUCAUCAAAAAGACUUACAGUCAUUUCAAAAAGACUUCCAAAUGAUACAACACCUAAUGUACGCAGAUCACUACAACUGACUUUUGAGCUAGUUAGAAUUAUUUUUUAUCUUGGGGUUUCUAUCUAUUUUUAAUCUCAUCAUCCAAGAAAAUGUUAAACACAAAAGCAUAAAAAAAAACAAAAUGAAUUACGCCACCAUCUCAAAUUUAUUGAGUGAUAUUUUAACGUAAUCUAAAUUGCAAGGAGAAGAUCAACUAAUACAAUAAUUUAGAAAUAUUUUUCUUUGUUUUUAAGUAACAUGUUUCAAAUUUGACUUACAUAGACAGCGAGGGAGUAUUGUAAUUAUGUCAAGUUUGAUACCUAAUUAAUGGCUGACUUAGCCUAGUCCCCCUCUCCUUAGAGUAAAAUAUAUUGUAACAAAAUUAUAGAGAGAGGUAACUAAGUGGGAUGAUAGAGAGAGGUAACUAAGUGGGAUGAGGCAGUGCAUUAUUAUCCUGGUCAACUUUGGCUAUGCCAAGUCCUACAUUUUUUACUUUCAAAUAUGAUUAUUACUUGCUUUCUUAAUCAACUAGAAGUAAAACUAUUGGCUUAGGAAAUACAUUUUAACGGAUACUUUUUACCUUUCAUAACGUGGUAAUACAUGUUUUACCUUAAUUAAUUAGUUCCCCUUCAAACAAACAAAAUGUAUACAUAAGUAAUGAUUUUCUUUUUGACACACAAUAUGAUAUUUUAAUACAAACAGACAAUACAAUAUGUGAAUUGGAACAUUAGAGCUCUUAAACUCGUACAUUGUACAACUAAGUGAAAAAAGCUAAACUAUAGUUAGAUGAAAGGUAGUCAUUUAGUACUACGAUAUAAUGAUAUUCUUCGAUCUAGUUGUUCAUUUUCACUUGUAAGUGAUCUUAUGUUUGAUUAUUGUCAAAAGCAAAUUUGAGCCAAAUUAUUGUCUAUUGUGAGGUUUAGCCUAACUCCUCUUUUUCGUACGAUAGAUAAAAUCGUUUGUUAAAAAAAGUUAAACAAAAAGCUUGCUGGUCAAAGACUCAAAUGCAACGACUUCCUUCACACAUUUUCUUUCGUCAAAGCAUUAAGUAGAAUUUAAAUUCCUUGCUCAUAAAAUUGGAAACAUGGAGGCCAUUCAAAGGUUUGAAACCGCGUGGAAACAAAAGGAUAGAAGAAAUAAAUUGGAAAAUUUGCUCCUCUAAUCACUUUCUUAUUUAGACUCUAGUCAUGUGUGUGGUGAGUGGUGAAUGGUGGGAACAUGAGGGCAGUGCAUCAUAUGCAAUUAUAUAAUUGGAGAAACGUUUGAAAAUAAAAACUUUUCACCACUUGUAUAUUAACAUUUGGCGUACCAUUACGUGUUUUGAGUGUACUGAAAAAUCUAGUGAAUGGUGGUAUGAGAUGUGAAAAUUCACAUAAAAGAGGAUCAAAAGGGAUAAUAAUGACAUGCAUUAACUUAAAGGAUGGCGAUAAGCACGGAUUUUGAAACUAACCCAAGAGAGUUCCCACUUUGCUAGGCUUCUUGCCCCCUUUUAAUUUCCUCUCCUUGAUAGAGUAGGAAAUCCUUUUGGGAUUUUAUUCUAAUUAGAAAAAUGAGAUUUUUUAAUAUAUGCUGCGAAUAUCUUAUGUAUUGAAAAUUUUAAUCAAUAUAUUAUUGGUUAAAGAUUCAACAAUUAAAGUUGCAAACGUUUAAAAAUUUAGUGUAUAAAGUACAUCAAAGUAUAGUAAAUUUUUUAUUAAAAAAUAGUGGAAUAAUUUAUCAUUGAUUAACACUUAUAAAGGGUAACACAAAUAAGAAGAGAAAAAAAAAAUCCUUAAAAAAAAGAAGACAAAAAGCUAAUUUUUGGGGUUGGAGGAAUAAUUACAAAGAAAAGAUUGUAUCCUAAAUUUUUGUGAAAACUGAGAGAAUUCCGGAUGAUUGGCCUUGGAGUAUCUUCCAAGGAAGAUUAAAAUUAAAUUAUAAUGUAAGAUAAAAAUUAGAAAAAAAAAAUUAAAGGAAGAAAUUCCAAAAACCCUUACUCUUUGGGGCAGGUAUGGUUUAGUGUUGUAAGUGGGGCUCCUAAAUACUCGUAGUGGGAUAGAAGAGAGUGGCACACUUCAUACUAAACAGUACUACCUAAACCUUUGUUUGGAUGGAGUUUAAUUUUUCAUUUUUCAUUGAACUCUUCUUAUUUUUUGAAGGAUCUCUCUCAAAAUUAGGAUUGUUAUGACCUCUUUGUCAACCCAUAGUUUAAAGUUAAUUUUGUGUUAACAUUAUAAAAUAUUAUACCAAAAGCAUAAGGUAACAAGGAUUUUAUAAAGAGUCUUAAGAGAGUUCGAUUAUCAGUUCACUAUCUUUUGUGUGGUGGUUUUAUGGUUUUCAAACUUUUCAAAAUUCUCAUACUAUUCUCAGUCAGUGACUCAAAAUUCCGUGAGAAUUUGGAGAUUCUGAAAGAACGGAUUAACAGGCUUUGACGGUCAAUUGCCCAUGAACCAAAACUCAUACAAACAGCAGUUAAACCCAAAAUAAUAUUAAUUAAAAAACCUAACAAUAUCUAUAAAAAUAUAACAAUUAUAAUUCUCUUUCUAUAACAAUUUGGUGACUUGAAAGACCGAAGGCCUGCCUAACUGCUGCAGAAUUUGUGAAGUCCUCUCUCUCUCUUAGCUCUUCUGGGUUUGUUUCUCUGCUCCUUUCCUUGGCUAUUUUUCAACUCUAAUCUUUUUUUUUGAGCUGUAAUCUGAUGACAUCAUUAGCUGGCUGGAAGCCACUGAAUUUCCUUGUUUUCUUUCCCCUCUUAGAGUUCUUGAUUAUAUUGAGGUCAGGAUUUUCAGGACUUAUAAUUACCCAAAACAAGAUCAUGAUCAAAGUAGCCUAAUUUUGCUUCUCAGCUAAGCUAACCUUUUCACAUUUAUAUUUGCAUAUAUAUAUAUAUAUAAAAUCUCAAUCUCCUAGUAGGGUUCCGCAUACUCACAUCCUUAGCUUUAGCUCCUUUCUACCCAAAUCUUCUUUCUUUUCUUAUUCCCCAAGCACCAAAAAAAAAAAAAAAAAAAAAAAAAAAAAGACCUAGACCAUCAUUAUAUUCCUCACUAGCUGCGGUUUCACACUAUCAUUAAAUUUCCGAGCUGGGUUAUUUUUCUCACAUGGAUAUCGAACACCAAGAGACUAGGUUUCCACCACUAACUGCCAGCGAUCAAGAGCGAAAGCCCGCAAAGAUACUGAGCCGCGAAGAGAUGGAGAGCAACAAUGAAGGCAUGUUUGUGAAGCUCAAGGUUGCAAAGCCGGAACCUUUAGGCCAAAACCCUCAAAACUUUUCUGCUGCUCCGCUGCCGGAAUUUACCCGAUUUUGCGAGGUCUGCUUCAAGGGUUUCAGCUCAGGUAAGGCUCUCGGAGGCCACAAAAGAAUGCAUGUUCAAGCUAACAGGGAAUUGUUUAAUCAGUCUCGCAAGAACACGAUUUCAUCAAAACCCAACAAUUCGAAACCAAGCAAUUCCAAUGUUGGAAGCUCGAAUGCUGGUGGGGUUUUGGGGAUUGGAGGAAAUAGCAGCACCAUCAGCAAUAUGAAGCCUGUUUGUUGCGUUUGCGGCAAGAAUUUUCCGUCGAUGAAGUCACUUUUUGGGCAUAUGAGGUCGCAUCCAGAGAGAGAGUGGAGGGGAAUUCAGCCGCCCCCGACCGCCAAAAACAGCUCUUCUUCCACUGUGUCAGAUGCUGUGCCUGAUCAGAGUAAUAGGAAAGCUCAGGAGGAUCAGAUUGAGUCUGAUGAGACUUUUUUCAGGUCGAAAAGUUCGGUUCUUAAUCUGUCCAAGACUCUGCCUAAAUGGUCACAAACCGCAAGGAGAGGGAGGAAGAGCGGCAGCACGGGAUUUGAGUCCAACUCUGACCAGUCCGUCUCCGGAUUGGAUUCGAGAAGUCCCAGGACUGUUGAAGAGGACGAAGAGCAGAUGGAGGAAGCUGUCCAUGAUCUUUUGAUGCUAGCUCAGGCCAAUCCAUUGGAAGGAGGAGGAGCUGAUGAGACCAUGUAUGAGGUCACCAACAGCAAUUUCUUGAUCACCACCAAUCAGGACCGAGAGGGUGGACUUCCAUACCACGGACACACUGCACCCUCCACCGUGGGGUCCACAAACAAGAGGAAGGGAGCAUCAUCUGAGGUGAAGAGGAGUGAGAAAAAAUGGUAUGAUGCAUAUGGUGGUGGGUUUGGUCAAGAAAAGUCAACGGUGAAGAAUUUCUUGAAGCUUGGAUUAAUGGAGGAGGAAAAUAUUGGAAACUAUAAUAAUAUGGAGGAUGAAUUGUCAGACAGUCAGAAUUCUGAGAGCAUUGCGGUGGUGAGGAGGAAGAGGAGGAAGAUGAAGUUGGUGGACUUGGAAGGAAGGCUGAGGUACAAGUGCAAUCUCUGUGCGAAGUGUUUCCCGAGCCACCAAGCUCUGGGAGGACACAUGUCAAGCCACAACAAGCUCAAGGGGAUCACGGUGGCCCACUCAUCAAUGGAGGACCAGUCUGCAUCCGCUGACGAUCCGGCUGCUGAAGAUAGGGUGCAUGGUGAUGAAGCAGAAAGAGUAGCACUUGAUCAUCUGCAGCAUCACCAAUGCAAAAUCUGUAACAAGACCUUCCCAACAGGUCAGGCUUUGGGGGGUCACAAGAGGUGCCACUGGACUGGCCCCACUGAGCAGCAGCAGCAGCAGGUGGUGGUGGUGGGUCCUUCUGAGCAGCUACAGAAGCAGGUGGUGGUCGUGGGUCCUUCUGAGCAGCUACAGAAGCAGCUGCAAGCUCAUUCCAGUCAGACUAUAGUAGGUGGUCGUGGUGGAGGAAAAGUUUUGAACUUUGACCUAAAUGAGCUUCCACCAAUGGAGGAGGAUAACCAGGAAGGUGCAGGUACAGAUUAUCAGUAUGGUGGGGCAGCAGCAGCAGGAUGUUCAACUUCUUCUUAUAAUUCAGUUACUAAUUAGCUAGCCAGCUGAAGAAUCUGAGGUUUUCUAUCUUCUCCUCUCAGUCUCUGGCUAUCUGAUAUUUUUUUAAGGGUUUUUGGAUAGUUCAGUUAGUUGUUGUCCUUAUAGUCUUAGAUACCCUACUGCUCUUUCCAGUUUGAUCAAAGUGGGGUCCAUUCCCAUUGGCUUUUAGGGUUAAUUUUCCUCUUGUAAAGCAUGAUGAUAUGGUCUUCUCAAGGUUUUGCUUUAGUGGAAGGAGAUUUCCAAUAUCCAAAUGAUCCUAUUGGGAGGAAGACGAUGUAAAGAAUCUGCAGGACUUCUGCAUACAUACAGUGUUUCUUUUUGGUUAAAUUAGUUUCCUUACUUUCUCUUCCAUUAAUUUUCUUGUUAGAAUUCAAUUGUUUAAUUCCACAAGUUUUAAGUUUCAAAUUAAGCCUUUGGUAAUCAAAUCUCAAAUGUAAGUGCUCUCCUGGACGGAGGGAUAUCAAAUUUACAGGAUUUAUAUCACAUUAAUAUACAGUUGUUUAUCUACACUAAAACAUGUCAUAUAUUGUCGAGAUUUAAAAUAAAAGAUCUGAACAAAAACAAAAUGAUUAGAAAGCAUAUAAUUUAUUUCAAAUUUAUUAGUCUAUUAAACAUAUUCCACAUGAUGUUUUCCAACUUUUGUAGAUAAUUUUCCUGCGCAUUGUCAAAUUCAGAUCCUUUCUUUUAGUUGACUCCAUUUAGAUGGAAUCUUGAUUUUGAUUUGUUUAAUUGUGAUGUGAGGCUAAUAAGAUGUAACGUUGAGUAUAUAGGGCCAGAACAAAGAAGUCAUUUCUUUAUGAAGUCAAGAGACUUCUCUACCCAGUGGAGGUUUUCCUCAUCAACCCAAUUUGCAAGAAUCAACUUUUUUUUUCCUGUUCAAUGCUUAAUUUUGGUUUUAAGAAAAUUAAUUAAGCAUAUAGUUUUCUUUGUGAUAUUUAAGAGAAGCAUCUAACAAAUCUCCAAAAGCAACUUGUUAGUGUUUGGGAAUUUGGUGUGUAUUUCCACAUAAACUAUGAGGGGGGGGGGUCUGUUUUGAAAAGGUCAUUGUGUACUGAUAGAGAUGUAGAUUUUUUUUUCCAAAGGUCAUUGUGUACUGAUAGAGAUGUAGAUUUUUUUUCCAAAUCACCUAAUUUAAUUGCAAAAUCAACACAGAUGAAGCAACAGGUUACUAAUAGUCUAAUACUCUAAACAUUGAUUUGUCUAAGCACACAAUUAUUAGUUCCUCUCCAGCUUAAGCUUUUACCAUCUCUUCUCACUUUGUGACCAGGUCAGCAAAAGAAUAAUAAGACAACAAAUUAACUCAAGUGUCUAGAUUCAGUUAUUUAGUUUUGCAAAGGAAUUGGUAUAUUAGUUGUGUAUAUGGUAACUUGUAUUUUUCACAUUAGCAUUGUACGUAAAACGUAAUACCUUAUAAUGGAAUAACCUUCUUAGGGCUGGUUUGGUAUUGUUGUGCUUUGAAAAAAAGCUGCUGUGAGAAUAAGCGGCUGUGAAAUAAAUCAGCAGAGUGUUUGGUAAACUUUUUUGUAAAAGUGCUUUUGGAAAGAAAAAAAAGCAGUCUGAUAGUGGGUCUUUUCAUUAAAGGAGCACUGUAGCUCCGUAUGCUUUGAAAAAAAGCCAGUUUUCCAAAGCUGCAAAUAGCAGCUUCAGCUUUUUCCUUUGAUUUCAGCUUAUUCUCACAGCAGCUUCCAAAAUAAGCCUUUUUUUAAUUUACCAAACACCUAAAACCCUCACAACUUUUUUUCAUGGGUGCUUUUUUUUUAAGCACCUCACUCCCAAACCACCCCUUAAAGUCAUAAAAGAUUCUGGACUGGUUAUGUAUUAGAAUAAACUUCAUAUUGUAAUAAGUUAUAAUUUUUCUUGACCUUAUGUUAAGGAAACACACCUCUACAUAGUUAUAAGUGUCACUGAGUACAAAAUAUGCAACAAAAUUAAAUCCUUGGUGCGUCCAAGGAAUCCUAUUUAGGAAAUACAUCAUUCAUUAAGGAUAAAUAAGUCAAUAAAUAAUAUUUCAAUUAUGUAUUAGAAUAAACUCCAUAUUGUAAUAAGUUUAAUUUUUUCUUGGUCUCAUCUUAAGGAAACACGCUUUCACAUAACAAAAAUAUGCCAGGAAUCCUAUUUAAGAAAUACAACAUUCAUUAAUGAUAAAUAAAGCAAUAAACAAUAAUUUAAACUACACCUCUAUUAAGCAAUAAUCUCCUUAAAAUUAUAAAAUUGGUUAUAUUUCAACCGUAUAACUUUAUAGAUGUUUUACUGUAUAUAAUUUCAUAAGUUUUAUGUCAUCAUGCCCCCGAAAUUUCUUUCCCCAAACAAUAUCGAAAGAUACAAUGUUAUAAUGUUUGCAUGCUGGUAAAUUUAAAGCAGUAAUAUUAGGUUGAUUUUGGUCAAAUUCUGUAGUUUAAAUUCACGAUUAAACAAUAUAAACAUCUAUCACGCAAAAGAAUGCUAAAUCCCAUAGCUAGUUAUUUGUGUGUAGUACUCAUAAUUCAUUUGCGUUGAAGGAUGCUUUGUAUUUAGGGUAGAAGAAAAUAGAAAGGAUAUGACUCAACUGUUUUAUUGACGAUUUCUUGUGAUCUCAAACUUUCUAUACUAUCAUUUUUAACUUUUAUAUCCCUUGGCACUUUUCUCACGCCAAUUGCCUAACAAACAUGUACCACCCUACCAUUGUAACGUGCGCUUUCGUGCCUUUAUGUCGUUGGUACUAGGAUACACUCACACGCAUAUUUUAUUAACUUUGGAUUAAUUAAUUGUUAAUUAUAAGAAAAUAAUAUUUAAAGCGAAAUCAUGCACAUGGUUCUUUUCAUACCUUGUUUUGGACUUUUGGUGUGAUUCUGUACUUUGUUUCAACUUACAGAAGGUGGUGUUCAUAUCUUAAAAUGGCUUAUAUGUCACUAUAAUUAAUAAAGAUGAAUUCACUUUGGAACAUUUAUACAAUAUACCUUGAAAGUCACGAAUUGGUCCAACAUUAGUGGUUGCUAAUUAUGCAGCUCUAGUAUUUUCUUUUUUUCUCUUAAACAAGAAUCAACUGAUGGCUUCGUCACUGCAGUCCACCAUGUUGGGGGCCGGAAAAACUCACAGUGACGUUUCAUCCUCCUCCUGACCAUCAUCAUGUGAUUCACCAACGUCAAGAAUCGAACUCAGGAAGUGUCGUGCGGAAUACGAACCUGAAAUUCGUCUUCAACCAUCGAGCCACACCGUGAUGGUUGCAUAGUAUUUUUGAAAUUGACACUUUUUCACAAUUACUACAAAUGACUAGAGAGUAAUGCUAUUCAUACCAUGUUUUUGUAUCAUAUUUGCAUACCACAUUAGGUGACAUUUGAUGUGGAUAGCCACAACAUUUGAAUUAAUGAGAUUUUUAAAUUUAGUUCAUUAUUUAAUAAACUAAUAAUUAAGAAAAACUAGUUAAUUAAAUGAUGAUUAUGGUAUACGACGAGUUUUUCUCCUUCCUUUCUUUGGGUUUUGCAAAUUUUUCAAAGGCUAAAUGUACAAAAUGGUCCAUGAGAUUUGCACAAUCAAUAGAAAUGGUCUUUGAGAUUGAAAAUCAAUAGAAAUGGUCCCUGAGAUUGUCCACCAUCCAUGAUUUUGGCCAUUUUGUUAAAAACUAUUUGGGCAAUUUUCAAAGCUUCGUAACUCAAUCGUUUGUUAACCACAUUUGACCCAUAAUAUAUCAAAAUGAAGAUAAGAAAGUGUAUAAUAAGAUUAUACCUAUUUGAAAGCCCAAUGGUUGCCGAAGAUGGCCGGAAAAUAACCUGAAAGGUGACUAGUCCGUGGGAAAACUGAAAAACUUGCCAGAAACUGGGUAAAUUUUAAACGUUCAUAACUUCUUCAAUACUCAACUAAAUCAAGUGAUUCAAAAAUAAAAAUCAUACUUCUAAAUGAGACGAAUAGAAUGGUACCUUUUUCUAUGGCUAACUCUCUGUUGUUUGGCCGGAAAACGGCUCAAAAGUGGGUAACUUGAAAAUGGUUAGCCACUUUCGAGCCAUUUUCCGGAAAAACCACGAAGAGUUAACCAUAAAAAAAAAAAAAGAUACCAUUCUCUUCGUCUCGUCGAGAAGUAUGAUUUUCAUUUUUGAAUCACUUGAUUUUGUUGAGUAUUGAAGAAGUUAUGAACGUUUAAAUUUAUCCAGUUUCAAGCGAAUUUUUCAGUUUUCCCUCGGACCAAACACUUUUCAGGCUAUUUUCCGGCCAUCUCCGGCAACCAUUGGGCUUCCAAAUAGGUAUAAUCUUGUUUUACACUUUCCUAUCUUUAUUAUGAUAUAUUAUGGGUCGAAUUUGGUUAAGAAACGAUUGAGUUAUGAAACUUUGAAAAUUGUCCAAAGAGUUUUUAAUGAAAUGACCAAAAUCCUGGAUGGUGGAUAAUCUCAGGGACAAUUUCUAUUGAUUUUCAAUUUCAGGGACCAUUUAUAUUGAUUAUGCAAAUCUCAUUGACCAUUUUAUAUAUUUAACCUUUUUCAAAUGAUGUGAAUGUCCACGUCAGAUGCUACCUAAGGUGAUAUAGAAAUGUGUAAAAACAUGGUAUGAAACUUACGAGAAACACAUCGUAUUAUUUGUCCACGUCCACCUAAAGUUAUAAUAUAAUACGAUGUAUAAAGUUUUUUACUGGUAAAUUUUUUUGUAAAAUGUGGUAUAAAAACAUGGUAUGAAACUUACAAGAUACACAUCGCAUUAAUUGUCUUCAAACUCAAAAGAAACUUACGAGAGUGACAAUAUUUGCUUGGUCUUCGAAUGGAACGGGAACAAAAAUGAGUUAGAAAAAGGGAAAUAUAUACAAACGACAAUAGUUAUAAACUUUUAAUCAAAGCAAUGAUAUAUCAGAGGCAGAGGCAUAAGACCUAGAGGAAACUUAGCUAUGUUAAGUACACGACUUAUUGUCUAUAUUGCGGCAGAAAGAUGCUUAAGUACUAGAGUGCUGGAUUUGAUACCGUCAUGGUCGAGUAAACUAUGCCCUAACUAGACUUAGUGUAAGUAUAAUACAAUAGAGAUUAACUGCGGAAUUUGUGUCCUUGGAAACAUCUAAAUCUAACCAAAGGCACUGCCUGUAUCAUGCGUUAUAUAUCAUUGCUUGUACAUUGCACUUCUUCUUCAAUUCUAAUUUGCCUAUGAUCAAUAAAAGUUUAUAAUAUAAUACGAUGUAUACAGUUUUUUACUGUUAGAUUUUUUUGUAAAAUGUUCGAUGAACAAAAUUUGACGACCAUGUGUAUCUUGUACACAAAAGCAUACAAUUUUCACCGGUUAGUAAAUCUUGUAGAAAUCACAGUUUCUAAAUAUCUCUCUUAUAUUAAUUCUUUGUUAAAAGUUACAAUGGUAUGGCAGUGUAUAUAUAGACAAUAUACUGCUCUUACAAUUACAAUUAUACCCUUGUCUAAUCUGUCUAUUUACAUAAGAAACCUAAGAAACUUUUAACAAACAUCUAACUAAUUUUACUUGAUCCUUUACCCCCUCAAGCUGAACUUGGAUGCAUCAAAAGGACCAAGAGAAAGCUUGGAUUGCAAGUAUAGAAAUCGGGAUUUAGACAGAGAUUUGGUAUGAAUGUUGGCUAACUGAUCUUGAAAGCACACAUACUGAACUUUGAGAAGAUUGGCAAGGACCAACUCUCGAAUAUAAUGGUAAUCAAGUUCUAUAUGCUUGGUGCGAGCAUGGAAAACUGGAUUGGAAGCAAGAGAUAUGGCAGACAGGUUGUCACACCAGAGAGAAGGAACAUGAGGAAGGUGAAGACCAAGAUCCUUGAACACUUUACAAAUCCAUGUGAUUUCAGCUGCUGUGUGGGCUAACGACCUGUAUUCGGCUUCAGUGGAGGAACGAGCAACCGUUGGUUGCUUCUUAGCACUCCAGCUGAUAAGAUUGGAUCCCAGAAAUAUACAAUAUCCACUAGUAGAGCGUCGAUCAAAAGGACAGCCGGCCCAAUCAGCAUCCGAAUAGGCAGUAAGAUGAAUAUCACCUUUCUUGAACCACAAACCAUGGCUGACUGUGGCUUUCAGAAAUCUGAGAAUGCGUUUAGCUGCUUGAAGAUGUGGUUCACGGGGAGCAUGCAUAAAUUGACAGACCUGAUUGACAACAAAAGAUAAAUCAGGUCGUGUCCAAGUUAAGUAUUGCAAGGCACCUACAAUGGAUUUGUACUCGUGUGGAUCAGGUAACAAGGAACCUGUGUGAUCAAGUUGGACUGACACAAGAGGUGUAAGACAGGGUUUAGCACCAGCCAUGUUUGUCUUGUGAAGCAGGUUAAGGAUAUACUUGCUUUGAUGUAGGAAAAGACCAGCAGAGGAUCUCUGAACCUCAAGACCCAAAAAAUAAUGCAAGGGGCCUAAGUCCUUCACAGGAAAAAUAGUACUGAGUUGCUGAAUGAAACUGUGACAAGCAGUAGGAUUUGGACCGGUGACAAGAAUGUCAUCGACAUACACCAAGACAAUAAUGGGGACAGGUGUUUGAAUCACAAACAAAGAAGCAUCAGAUUGUGAUUGAUGGAAUCCCAAGGACUUCAGAACUACAAAGAGUUUGUCAAACCAGGCCCGAUGAGCUUGUUUCAAUCCAUACAAGGAUUUUCGAAGUUUGCAGACAUGAUGAGGAUAAUUGGGAUCACUGAAACCGGGGGGUUGCUGCAUAUAGACAUCUUCUUGAAGGUCUCCGUGCAGAAAAGCAUUACUGAUAUCCAAUUGGUUGAGAAACCAAUCAUAUUGAACCGCAAGAGAUAGAAGAAUGCGAAUGGUGACUGGUUUGGCAACUGGACUAAACGUUUCCUUGUAAUCCAAACCAGCUUGCUGAUGAAAGCCUUUGGCCACAAGCCUAGCUUUGUAUCGAUCUAUAGUGCCAUCCGGAUGUUUCUUAACCCGAAACACCCACUUACAGCCAACAAUAUUAUGAUGAGAUUGAAACGGAACGAGAGACCAAGUGCCCGUGGAUUGCAGGGCAUUAUACUCAUCCUGCAUAGCAGAUCUCCAAUGGGCAUGUUUGGAGGCCUGAAGAUAAGUAGAGGGAAUAACAUCAACAGUGUUAGGUAAAGAAUGGUUGGUGGCUGAGUAGGCUUUGGGUUUAGAGAUACCAGCUUUAGAUCGUGUGAUCAUAUGAUGGAUAUUAGUGGGAGGAGGGGAGAGUGGAUAUAAGGGGACUGAAGAGGGCACAUGAGAGGGAUGCACUUGAGAAUGCAGUAGAGGUACAUGAGAAUGUGUGCUAGAGGGAUUAAUCAAAGGAGCAGGUGAUGAACUCAAAGGAGCAGGGGAAGAAGGAGCAAGGAUAGGAAAUUGCAGGUUGACACAAGGAUUUACUUGGGAAGUAUCAGCAAAGGAAUGAGGGGGAAGAACAGUGGCAGAGGAUAGAGUAUGGAAUGGAAAAGUGGUCUCAUCAAAUAAUACAUGCCGAGAGAUAUAAACACGUUGGGUAAGUGGAUCAAGACAGCGAUACCCCUUGUGCUGAAGACUGUACCCAAGAAAUACACAGGAUUUACUCUUACUAUCCAACUUGGAUGUCGUAUAGGGUUUGAGCCAGGGAUAACAACCACAGCCAAAAACUCGAAGGCGAGAAUAAUCUGGAGAAGUGAAGAAGAGGAGUUCCCAAGGAGAUUGCAAUAGACCACCAAGUGGAAGUCGAUUAAUGAGAUAGAUAGCAGUAGAAAAAGCUUCAACCCAAAACAUAUGAGGCACUUGAAAUUGCACUAAGAGUGUACGAGCAGUUUCAACCAAAUGGCGAUGUUUCCUUUCAACGUAUCCAUUUUGCUCAGGAGUAUGAGGGCAACUAAAUUGUUGUAAAAUGCCAUGAAGUUUAAGAAAAUGCUGAAACUGAUGACUUGUAAACUCACCCCCUGAAUCAGAUCGAACAACCUUGAUUUUAUUACCAAUAGUUUUCUCUACAUAGGAUUUGAACUCCACAAAGGUUGAAAAUACAGAAGACUUAGACUUUAAGGGAAAAUACCAACUAUACUUGUUGUAAUCAUCAACAAUAAGCAAGUAAUAUCUAUAGCCACUGACGGAUACAACAGGAGACGGCCCCCAGACAUCACAAUGCAACAAUUCAAGACUGGUCGAAGAUGCAGAUGGAGUAGUACCAAAGGGAAGCUUGUGAUUCUUUGCCAAAGCACAGUCUUUGCAAAAGAAGUCUGGAGACGAUCUGCCUUGGACAACAACUUUAUUCGUAGACAGAACUUUCCGAAAGAUAACAGAAGAGGGGUGACCAAGUCUGCUGUGCCAAAUGCGAACAUUAGUAGAACUACUUACGAGUGCAUUAGGAGAGGUAGGAGCUUUGGAGGAAGAAGAGCCUUGAAGAGGAAAGAAUCCACCUCUAACUGGGCCCCGCAAAAGCGUCCUCCCCGUAAAACGAUCCUUGACAGAGGAUCCAUGAAUGUCAAGAGUCAAUGAACAAUCAUUAUCUUUGAUAAACUGAUAGGCAGAGAGUAGACUGUAUUUCAUAUGAGGCACAUAAAGAACAUUGUGUAAUUGAAAAGAAGAAGCAGGAGUAUGCAAAGUAGAUGUGCCAGUAUGAGCAAUAGACAGACCUUUACCAUCUCCGAUGUACACCUUGUCUUCACCAUGGUAGGGAGUUGGAGAUUGAAUAUUGGCGAUAUCAUUUGUAAUGUGAGAGGUAGCACCCGAAUCUAUGAGCCAAGAAUUGGAGGACUUCGCAGUGUAAUGAGCACACAUGGCAGCAAGUUUAGCUGGGGGAAACUUGCCUGAGAUUUCUGGAUUCAUUAUGUCGAAGCAAUCAAGAGCUUCAUGGCUAGUAGAACCACAAAUUUGACAGGGAGUUUUGUGACCUGAAGGAGAGGCAUGACAGUUGAAUCCAGAAUUAUAAGAACCACGAGAGAAACCAGAGUUGGAGUUGCUACGAUUAAAACCACGAUUGGAGCCUCGAUUGGAACCACGGGUGUAGCCUCGAUUAGAACCACGAUUGUAGCUUCGGUUAGAAUUAUACCGAAAGGAAUUAUGAAGUGGUGAUGCUCCAGGAGUCUGAGCAGCAAGAGCUUGCGGUGGUGUGGGAAGUAGAGGCGGUUGGCCUUGCACAGAAAAGGCAUGAAAAGGCUCAGAGGAAGAGAUUUUCUUACGACGCUCCAUGGAUAACUCCUUAGUGAGCAACAGGCCAUGUAAUUCAUCCAAAGAAGUAGACGAAAGACGAAGUAAGAUAGAAUCAGUAAACGAUUCAAAAUCAUCAGAGAGACCAGCAAGAGUUGCAGCAAUGAGAUCACGAUCAGUGAGAGAUCACGAUCAGUGAGAGAUACACCAGCAGCAGUGAGAGAAUCGGAGAUCUCCUUGAUUUUUUGAAGAUAGUCAGACAUGGACUGAGAACCUUUCUGAAUAUUUUGAAGCUUCGAACGCAAUUGAUGAAUGUGUGCAUUCGAGACACCACCAAAACGCUGCUCAAGUUUGAGCCAGAGAUCACGAGCGGAAGAGACACCGACUGUGAACGGAAUGAUUUCCUCAAAGAGCGUUGAAUUGAACCAGAUAAGCAGAUUCUGAUAUUUCUCAUACCAUUGCUCAAAAGCAGGAUUAAGAGAGCGAUCAGGAAGAAAGGGAGAUGGACAAGGCUCAGUGCCAUCAACAAUCCCAAGGAGCUUGUAGCGACGAAGAAUCGGAGCAAACAAAGCACGCCAUGGCAGAUAAUUGGAUCGCCGGAGCUUGAUCGGAACCAUGCUGCCAAUGUUCUGGAUCGUGAGAGAAUUAUACAUCUGAGAGGAAUUGAGAUUUGGGGAAGAAGAAUUAGGGUUUGAAGAAUUAGGGUUGGGAGGAGGCACCGACUCAAUUGGAGAUGAGGAUGCAAAGGGAGACGCCAUUAAGAUUCAAGAAAAAGAAGUCGAGAACCUGAAUCGGAGUAGAAGAACAACGCAAUCAAUUUCACCGGAGAAGAAGAUCAGAGAGGAGCAGAAGAAAAUGGCAGGAUCGAAGAAGCCGUGAGGCGAUUUGGCGAUGGUACCAUGUAGAAAUCACAGUUUCUAAAUAUCUCUCUUAUAUUAAUUCUUUGUUAAAAGUUACAAUGGUAUGGCAGUGUAUAUAUAGACAAUAUACUGCUCUUACAAUUACAAUUAUACCCUUGUCUAAUCUGUCUAUUUACAUAAGAAACCUAACAAACUUUUAACAAACAUCUAACUAAUUAUACCCUUGUCUAAUCUGUCUAUAUACUGCUCUUACAAUUACAAUUAUAGCAGCAGGGUAAAUGUGUGUUAUGAUUUUACCGGUUCAGUUGUGCAUUUGUGCCGGACUACGCUGUUUUAACUUUGCGGCUCUUGGCACCGGACCCGUCUUUAAAACGGUUCAAAUCACACUGGAAGGGUGUCGAUGCAGUUAAAAGACUUGGAGAUGUUCUUACCAUUGUUGUUGUUGCUGUUACGCCGGUUCUUUAGCUUCAGUUAUGACUGUAAUCAACUUGGUACUUUCGUAAUUUUUAUGUGUGUAUAUUUGGUCGUACAAACUGAGAUUCAUCUGUGGACUGCGCGACCGUGGGGAAGUGGAUCGUGAAGAGCACGGAUGACUCAUGUAACACGUACGAAAUGGAUACAUGUGAGGCCAAGUCUUGUCUCGUUCUGCCCAGAAGUGCUUUUUAGAGAAGCAUCUCCAAAGGAGUCUCGAGUGAGGAGGCGUUAUGUCAGCUUUUGGCAAUACUAAUCGUGUGUAUUUUCGAUAUGUCACUACUAAUUAAGCCAUCAUUUGGUUUUUUAUUACAACUCAAUUGUUGCUAAUUUACAUUAUUUACUGACGGAGUUGAUUGCAAAUAUUAAAUCUGGUGUUUCAAUAUACCAACAAAAGCAUACUUUUUGGAAAUAUUCGAAUUAACACAAAAGAAAAUUUUCAUUUCACUCACUAUUCAUGAUCCAUAACAAACUAUGGUUUUAAUCAUCGUAGACUGAAUUUUCUUCGAUGUAUAACCAUGUGUAUCUUGUACCUUGUUACUAUUAAACCCUAUGGUUUUAAUCAUCAUAGGCUGGAUUUUCUUCGCGAAAAUCCAAAACUGCUCGGCCCACUGCUGAUCGUCGUUCAAAACGGACAAGGAUUGUCUGACCUUCACUUCCGGUGCCCUUCUCGUGUCCUCCUGUUUUGUGUGGCCACGGUUAAGCCACGUCAACAUUUUAUAUUGUUUUUUUAUAGAUAUAAUAAGACAAAAAUGAAUAGUAAUAUAAAAUGUUGACGUGGUUUAACCGUGACCACACAAACAGGAGGGCACGGAAAGAGCACCGGAAGUGGAGGGCAGACGAUCCUUGUCCGUUCAAAACCAAUUACCAAAGACAUUGAAUCAGUUGCAGUCAAAAACAACUUUAUGUCUUUCUCAUUAAUCUUUCUUUCGGAUGAACUGAUCCAUCGUCCAAUACCUGGCAUCUCACAAUCUAUUGACACGACAUUGAAAAAACGACUGUCGUUGACAAUACAACCGAGCUCGAUGCUCAUACAAAUAGGGGCGAGUCAAGUUAUCAUUGAGCUCAAGACAUUUGCCAUCAAAACCAACAAUCCGUCAUGCGACUUUUGUUGGAUACAUUUGACUGGAGUUCUCAUUAGAUUGUUCUGCAACAUCUAAUCUCUCGAGCUUCCGGGUGGCGGCCGUGUAUAUAAUAACAUUAGCACUUUCAUCAUCAUGUUUGAAUUUUGAAUGCAACUAUUGGUGAAGACGAUUUGAUCAAGGCGAGAAGAUUUGGUCAAGGGCGAGAGGCUGAAUAACUUCAAUGAUAAUAUUGAUGCUUCAUGGUUUUACAAUACAUAAGCAUACAAGCUGAGUUCCAUAAGGAAGACUAUGUACACACAAAUUUCAAUUACAACAACAACAAAGCUUUUUCUCACUAAAUGGGAUCGGCUAUAUGAAUUCUAGAAUGUCAUUGCGCUCGGUUCUGACCACACAACAUGCAACUUACAGGUGAUGCCCUAGCUUUAACGCGAUUUCGUUCUAGAUUCAUUUUUAUAAGGAUUCAACGUAACCUAGGAGUGCUGACUGUCGACUACCUGACGUCCUCCCCCUCCUUUACACACAGAUCUCAAUUAAAUAUACAAAAUCAACUCCUACCUAAAACAGGACUCCCAAAAUCUCCCAGAAUCUCCUAUAAUAUUUAGGAAUAAUGUCCCAACAUGCACUCGUCUUGGUCUGGUCUUUUGUUAAGCAAAGCCAAGCCGGAUGGGUGCCAGAAGACCUUAAAUUAUGUCUUAAACAUCGUCAAGGAACAUCCGUUACAAGUGAUUCGACGUUCCUUAAAUUUCGACUCAUAAAACAAUCCACCAAACAAAAUUGACAACGCGAAAAUUACAGUUACGGAAUGUACAAUACGCUAUAAGCACUUAUAUAUAAGCAAUCGUUUUGAGAUGCUUUUGUUCCUAUGAAAGCAAAAAUUACAACACUGUUGCAUAAAAACGGAAACAGAAAAACAAAUGAGGAAGAAAAGGGUUCUACACGAUAAAAGAUCAAAUUUAACCUUCCAGUAUUUGCCUAAGGAGGUUGAGAAUACACAAAAACAACAUGGCGUUGCUACUCUCGUGCUCAGGUGGGUACAGCCACCCCUUGAUGGGAUGACUGCGAGUGAAAAACAAGAUCGCCAAGCCCAGCAAUAUUAACUGAAUAAAAAGACAAGAAGUAAUCUUACAAAACCUCUUCUGGAUGGUGAAAACCUCUUCGGUCUCUAAAAUAUCUCCGGAUAAUUUUCCCAACUCCAUUGUUCGUUCCUUUAGCUUUGCGGCCCUAAUUUCUACUUCUCCAAGCUUGUUCAGCAUCUGUGCUUGUUCUCCGGCUACUGCUUCUUGCUCAUCAAGCAGUGCGAUUUGGCCACCUGCAGCAAACUUCAACCUCUGUGUGGAACUUUUAAUAGCAAUGAACUCAACCUGAGCUUCAAUCACUUGCCUAAACACGCCAUCAAGUUCAGUCUCUAGCUCUCGACUUUUUUCUUCCUCUAAACCUACGGUACUACCUGAAUCUUCUUUUGCAGACUUGCUAACGUUAAUCAUAUCUUCAAGUUCAGCAACCCUGGAUUCUUUCACCUCCAGUAUAGCUCUCGUCUCGUCCAGCUUGCUUUCCAAAAGCUUCACAUUUUGUUUCAAACUCAAGACCUGAGAUUCCAAGGACUUUGAAGAACUUUGUCCAAUCUUAUCAGAACCCAAAUGGUCAGAUAAGUUAGAUUCAUUGAUUCCCGGAUCACUUGAAUAGAUAUUGGCAGGUAUACUACCACCAAUAGAAUCCGCUGACAAAGUUUCCUUCCCAAUCUCCCCAAAUUUCUGAACCUCUGCAUGAACACACAUGACUCCGUUAAUUUGAUGUCCAAAAACAGCCAUAACAAUAUAGCAGAACCCCCAAAAAAGGAAAACACAAUCAAAAUUCAUAUUUCAGACAAAGCAGUCAAAAAUAGCUUCAGCAGGAAACAAACCAUCGCUAAUAAGAAACACAGACAGCAAUAAGUUAAGAAGGGAAAUAAACCAAAACUACUUUGAAAAGCAAAGCGCAGCCCAUUAAUCAAAGUCUCAAUAUGCAGACCACACUAAAGGGGAAUAUUUUUGCUCACCACACUAAAGUGAUGUGAUGCUCAUGACCCUAUUGAUUACCGUUGGAUGAGUUUGAUUUAAUCUAUCUACUACACAAAUCUCGAAAUUUAAACUAAUCUAACGGUAUUUAAUGGGGUGGUAAGUAUUACCACCACUUUAGGGUGGUGAGCCAAAAUGCACUCGUAGGAAGGGGUAAAACAAUGAACCCACAAGAAAUAAAAGGAAAAUGAUACAAUAACCAAGACGGAUGGAGCAAAAAGCAAACAAUACUAGUUUCUCGAACCAAGCCUUUAGUGUAAAAGAGGGAAAGAGAAACAGUAAGUGCCAUUACACCAAGACUUCUGAGUAUAAAAAAGAAUGCAAGACAAGACAAUAACUUCAAUGAUGAUACAACGAGUUAUGGUAACAUCUGGGCUUCUCAAAAUGUUUAUGUAUCAACCAGAAAGAUUCACCAAAUAUAUUACCCACGAGGCACAUAAGAUGGGAGGUAUUUCACAAACCCUUAUUAAGAUCCCCUAAACAUGUGAAAAUUGAACAAACUUGCACUUGUAAAAGUACAAACUUACACUUAUAAAAGUACAAACUUAGAAGAAGAUUAGCAUAUGGCUGCCAUGGAGACUCUCCCACCCAUUGAUUACAUUGUUUGCAGACUACUCUAGUCAAGAGGUCCUUCAGACUACUCUAAAAAUGACCAAAAACUUUGCUUGCAGAACUCCUAAAUCUAUACUUGGACUUUUACAAAAUAAAAUUGACAUGUUUAGCACAGACCACAGUUUUGCACGAUCAGGUUUUUCAAAAUAAUCUUUCUAUGAUUUUAAUAGUUAUUCUACUGGUUCCUACCCUAUCCUGAUCAUCACAGGAAGUAGUAGCUGAACAAAAAAUUCUAAUUAGGCAAUGAACAAUAUGGGGGAUUCAUCAAAUUUAUUAGAACACCAACACGUUAAACAUAUGGAAAGCAGCAAUACAAGACAAAAACACCAACUUUAUUUCGUAAUUAUUUAUAUUUCAGCAGUUUUAGGCAAACCUUUAGCCAGUGCUUCUUGUACAGACUGGAGAUUACGGAUAGCCUCAACCAGUGGAUCUUGAUCUGUCAAGGACCUAUGAUCCUUAUUCUUUCCUCCCUUAGCCAUCCACGGCAAGUCCGUCGGAAAGUCACCCUGAGAAAAAUCUUCAACAUCUCCCAAAUUCUCUUUGCUAUAACCAGUUUGAGCUUCUUCACUGUAUUGUGGUUCACUUGCAUGAACUUCAUCACUGUCUUCUCCAUCAUGACUCAUUGAUCUUCCACUUUGCUUCCUGUUACUAGUCAAAAUUGGACUCUGCAUAAAGAAAAAGUUGGAGCUUCUUGAGUCAGAUUCCAUGCUGGAAUAAGAGUUUUCCUUCUCAACUGUGCCCCUGUCUCCUCUAUGCUUCUUACUACUUUCAGCUCGUGUCUUUCCCUGUUGAGCUUUUUGAGCUGAAUUGCUCACACUCCUCCUGCUAGUACUCUUCAUCUUGUUCUUAUCCCACGCAUGCCCAAAUGCUGCAGGGAGCUCAAACUUGGCCUUUGGAACACUGGCAGCUGUUGAAGACUUGCUACUCCGAUCCUCACUGUUGUCAGAAUCUGCGGCAGCAGCAAAUGCAGAACCCACAGCAAACCUAGAAUCCGAACUUGAACCAGGAAUGGCAAAGCUAUCAGCAACUCCCACAUUUCUCAACCUAUUCACGGAUCCAACAGAAACAUCACUAUUAUUAUGCCUGAUCUCAAUGGGCGAAUUCUUUGGCUUAACUGGGUUUCCAUUACCGGACAAACCCCGCUUCAAAACUUUACUAGAAUCAUCAACUGCAUUGUCAUUAUCGUCCUUGGCAAAAUUUCUCUUAAUUCUUUUCCACUUUCUUAAGCCGCGCCCUUUGACGGUUGGAGGUGACCCCCCAACGGGAGAUUUGGCUGCCGGAGGACUCGAAUUCACUGCCUGUUCAGUGCCACCAUCAUUAUCUCUACUAUCUGCUACAUUGCCAAUCUCAUUACCACAUGACCCGUUGUUCCUAAUCGAAUUACUACUACCGUCAUCGCCAUCAGCAGCAGCAAAAUCGGAAACUGCUUGUGGGUUUACUACAUCAUCUUCCACAGAUUCAUUUUCCAAAUCCAUAACAUAGAACAAUUUAGGGCUUUUCCCUCACCCCCAAUUCAAUCAGAUCAAGAACAACUAUCAUUCCAACCCAGACCCAAAAUCUAGCAUUACAAAAAACUGAAAUUAAAUUUCGAUCACGAACCGGCAGAGCAAUUAAAUCCUGAAUAAUUGAAAAUUCAGAAAAAUAAAAAAACGAAACGACGAAUUCAAAAUUUGGGAUUUUGGGGAAUUGGGAAACUUACCGUUGGAAUUAACUGCCUGAAGCCUAGAAGAAUACGCAGGUAGAAGAUAAAUUCGAAGGGCAUUGGAAACCCUGAAUUGUGAUCGGAUUUGCUAUCUUAUAGCGAUGAAAAUUUAAUUAGGAAAAUUUAAUUCGACUAAUUAUUAAUUAACGGGAAAAAAUGAUAAAGGGGAGGAUUAAAUAAGGGUGGAGGGAACGUGGGGGACACUGAGCAUGGCCACAUGCACGAGGGGUGGGCCCACCCUCCACCGCACACCGUUGGCCACCGCUGGCCAUCUGAUGGAUCGGCUUCUUCUUGCUUGCACGAGGGGUGGGCCCACCCUCCACCGCACACCGUUGGCCACCGCUGGCCAUCUGAUGGAUCGGCUUCUUCUUGUAUUUGUUUGGUAAUUUUGUUUUAUGUUUGUUUCUACUCUAAAACUUCGUUUCAAACAAAGAUCUUAUAGUUCAAGUGGUUAUGAACGUUUGAUUUGGACUUGAAGUUCUAAGUUGGAGUUUCUCCUCAUUUAUUAUUGCUUCAUUUAGCAUUACAAACAUGGAUUAAGUUGGUAUUAUAGUAGUUUGGAUUAAACUAUAGCAUUUGUUUAGGAAAAUUAUUUAGAAGUGAUUUUAAUAUGGCUGAAAGUGUUUUUGGUGAAAUGUUUUUAAUAUCAAUCCUAAGCAAAAAUGCAAGUGAAUCUCGAAAAAAUACUUAAAGUUCUUCUUUUAAGAAGAACAUAACUGAUGUUUAUUACAUAAAACACUUCAAAUGCUUUUGGAAUCCAAAAACAUUUUCUCUAAAAAAAGUUUUAAUUAUUUUAAAAGUAUUUUCAAACGAGCUCGUAGAUAUAUAAAAUCGAACUGCUAGCCACACGUAAUCACUCUCUCUUUCAACUCGAGUUCGAAUAUCUUCUUUCAUAAAUUAUAUCAGUUUUGAAUCAUUGUCCUCCAUUAAAGAUAAUUUUAGAAUGUUAAUAAUUUAUAAUCUUUCUCAGUUUUAUUUGAGUGAACUGUUAUGCUCAGGAUUGUAUUUUCCAUUCAAUGACUGCAGAAUCAAAUGAACCGUGAUUCGUGCAUAUCAUCAAUCUAAGGGUUUGGGUACCAAAUAUAAUAUAUUGUCAUUAAUUUAGUUGUAGUAAUAAAAGGUGAACUUGUCGAUCUAAACAGCUGCAAAUGCGUAUGUAGACAUCGAAAUUUCGGUAAAUAAAUGUUGACCGAUAAAUUAAAGUGUCAACGCUCAUGUAUUACAUAAAUUUUACACGUAACGUGUGACUCAACGAAAAUUGAAAUGAGUUGGAAAAGUCAUCAAAUAGGACACGUGUCAACACCUGGCAGAAACGACUUAUUUCGUCUGGGAUAUUAUAUUCAAAAUUAGGCUUUGGAAAAUUCUAUAAAUACAAGCCCAUUUCAUUCAUUUGGGGGACCAAUGGAUAUGACACCUUGAAGCUCUGAAGCUCUGAAACCCCGAAGCUCUCAAGCAUCCAAGUUCCCGAAGAAUCAAGAAAGCCUUCUUCGUUCUUCGUUCAUCGUUCUUCCAAGAUCAAGCCCCGACGGCCCUUGGAUCAACAACAUCAACAAAUCCACACAUCCGACCGUUCUUCAAGAUCAAGCCCCGACGGCCCUUGGAUCAACAACAUCAACAAAUCUACACAUCCAACCGUUCUUCAAGAUCAAGCCCAAAAGCCCUUUGAAGAUCCGUUCAUCCAUCAACCUUCAAGAUCAAGCCCAAAAGCCCUUGAAGAUCCGUUCAUCCAUCAACCUUCAAGAUCAAGCCCAAAAGCCAUUGAAGAAACGCUCAUCCUCAAGAUCAAGCCCCAACGGCUCCUUGAAGACCCGCUCAAAAUCCACCUUCAAAGAUCAAGCCCACGGCCCUUGAAGAACGUUCAUCCUUAGAUCAAGCUCAACGGCCCUUGGAUCAAUCGCAUAUCCACAAAUCAACACCUUACGGAGAUUGAAUCAGAGGAUCAAAUAGAAGAGAGAUUGUAACCCAAAAUCAUCAAACACAAAUAUUUGUUUGUGCACGUUGUUUCUUGUCUCUUUCGUUUUCAGGAAUUUUCCGUGUUCACAAAUUGGCACGCCCAGUGGGACCAUCUCUGCCUCUCAUCUCUUUCUCCGAAAUUCAAGCGCACUUCGAAAAUUAAUGGCAUCAAGGAAGGCUCAAACGGUUCCCGCAACCUGCGCAAAGAACAAGAGCGUCAUCGUCGCAAGUGGUAUCACUUUGGGCAUCACGACUCGAAGCAUGGCAAGAGCUACUUCUGCCACCUCUUUCACCUCUGCAUCAACUCUGCCAAAGGGACAAGAGUACCCCAGGCGCGAGCCUAUGAUCACCUUAGCCUCACUAAGGGCACCAAGAGGGGAAAGACCAAGGGAAUACUCCGAAUCCAUGCUCUCCGAUGACGAUUCAAGCGGCAGUUCAGCCAUGCAAGUCAUGACCGCUGGAGCAACUUCAGUCGAGGAACAGCUUGCUCAAAUGAAUGAAGCAAUCGCAAGACUAACUCGAACUGUGGAAGAAAAAGAAUUGCAAAUCGCGGCAUUAGUCAACCGACUGGAGGCGCAUGACAGCGAGAAACCCGACCCAGAGGAUGAUCCACUAAAGGGAGGAGCUGGCGGAGACGAAGAACCCCCGGUGAAGAAAAUCGAUAGGAAGCCGAAACCAGACCAAGCAGCGGCACUCAUGGGAUCUCUUUCUAUCCAGCAGCUGCAAGAGAUGAUCACCAACACCAUCAAUGCACAGUACGAAGGGAGCUCAUAUACCUCCGGGUUGUACUCAAAGCCGUAUUCAAAGAAGAUCGACGCCCUAAGGAUGCCGAGGGGUUAUCAACCACCAAAGUUCAUGCAAUUUGAUGGAAAGGGAAACCCGAAACAGCACGUUGCCCACUUCGUUGAAACUUGCAACAACGCAGGAACCGAAGGGGACUACCUCGCCAAGCAGUUUGUGCGCUCGCUGAAAGGAAACGCCUUUGAGUGGUACACGGAUCUGGAGCCUGAGUCCAUCAACAGUUGGGAGCAAUUGGAGCGGGAAUUCCUCAAUCGCUUCUACAGCACCCGCCGCACUGUGAGCAUGCUAGAGCUAACAAGCACAAAGCAGUGGAAGGACGAGCCAGUCAUGGACUACAUCAAUCGAUGGCGUAAUCUAAGCCUCGACUGUAAGGACAGACUCUCCGAGAUUUCUUCAAUCGAGAUGUGCAUCCAGGGCAUGCAAUGGGGUUUACAAUACAUCCUUCAAGGUAUCAAACCACGAACUUUUGAAGAAUUAGCCACCCGUGCCCACGACAUGGAGUUGAGCAUCGUCCACCAUGGAAAGAAUGAGCCAAUCACCGAUUUCAAAAGGGAUAAGGUGUUCACUUCAAGAGCAGACAAUCAUGGGAAAAAGCGCGCCAAGGAAGCUUUUACCACCAAUACCACCCCUAUCAAGACCUCGUCUGUGCCCGUCAAAAUCUCUUUCAAUAAAGCAAAGGAGAUGAAAAAAGGUGAGCCUUCCCACACCCAAGAUAGGUACAAAAACACCUUGAGGGAAUUGGAGCAGAAGGUAUACCCUUUUCCGGACUCCGACAUGGACGCAAUGCUGGACGACCUACUGGAGAAGAAGGUGAUUGAGUUACCCGAAUGCAAACGCCCUGAAGAAAUGAAUCGCAUCAAUGAUCCCAAGUACUGCAAGUACCAUCGUAUCGUGGGUCAUCAUGUGGGCAAGUGUUUCAUCCUAAAAGAACUCAUCAUGAAGUUGGCACAACAAGGACGGAUUGAGCUCGACCUAGAAGACACAGCUGCGACGCACACCACUACGGUCGUGUUCGGAUCCUUUGAUCCCGUGUUUCUUCAAGAAAUGCCUGACCAUGCUCGGUAAUACUCAAACCACAUUGCACAUUCUGCACCACCGUCACUGGGGGCAAGCAACCAGGACGCACCUACUGACGAUGACAAAUGAUGGACAUUGGUGACCUAUAAGAGGACGAGGAACCAAAAUCAUUAGGCAAAAUUCUUGAAGCUUUGAAGCUCUGAAACUCCGAAGCUUUCAAGCAUCCAGGUUCCCGAAGAAUCAAGAAAGCGUUCUUUGUUCUUCGUUCAUAGUUCUUCCAAGAUCAAGCCCCGACGGCCCUUGGAUUAACAAUCACCAAUUCAAGAUCAAGCCCCGACGGCCCUUGAAGAAAGUGUUCUUCGUUCUUCGUUCUUCGUUCAUCGUUCUUCGAAGAUCAAGCCCCAACGGCCAUUUGGAUCAACAAUCAUCCACCAAUUCAAGAUCAAAGCCCCGACGACCCUUGAAGAAAGUGAUAUUCGUUCCUCGUUCAUCGUUCUUCCAAGAUCAAGCCCCGACGGCCCUUGGAUCAACCAUCCACCAAUUCAAGAUCAAGCCCCAAAGGCCCUUGAAGAACUUCCACCAAUUCAAGAUCAAGCCCCGACGGUCCUUGAAGAAAGCACCAUCGUUCAGGAACCAAAAUCAUUAGGCAAAAUUCUUGAAGCUUUGAAGCUCUGAAACUCCGAAGCUUUCAAGCAUCCAGGUUCCCGAAGAAUCAAGAAAGCGUUCUUUGUUCUUCGUUCAUAGUUCUUCCAAGAUCAAGCCCCGACGGCCCUUGGAUUAACAAUCACCAAUUCAAGAUCAAGCCCCGACGGCCCUUGAAGAAAGUGUUCUUCGUUCUUCGUUCAUCGUUCUUCGAAGAUCAAGCCCCAACGGCCAUUUGGAUCAACAAUCAUCCACCAAUUCAAGAUCAAAGCCCCGACGGCCCUUGAAGAAAGUGCUCUUCGUUCCUCGUUCAUCGUUCUUCUAAGAUCAAGCCCCAACCAACCAUACACAUAGUGGUAAGGAAGCACCGCAGCACGAUCUUCAGUGCUUGCCGAGUCAGAAACCAUGCUCAAGCCGUUGUAAAUGCUGGCUAAGACCGGAAUAGCGAGGCUAAAAGACUCACCUGCAGCCAUCUUGCUAGCAACUUUGAAAACUCCAGGGCGAACUAAGUUGACGUCGCCUGCGGGGAAAACAAAUUUACAAAGCCAACAAGCUAAGAAAGCAGCCAGGUAAGACUCAUCCACAUGCUCUGGUGCUAUGCUGAGAUCCUCAAAUGCUCUCAACUCGUCAGAAGAGCGACGCCUGGUUGCGCCAAUAACACCGGACGGGUCUGAGUCGCCCUUUGGCCUAGUGGUCUUGUUACGACCAAUUCUCUUCAAAGGCUUAUUAUACCUCAUGGCCUCCCAGUACCAGAAUCGGAUCCAUGAGGAAAUCCUCACGCCUGAUUUACCUCGAGCAUCCUGGAAAAGCCUGUGAUACGCCCAAAACAAAUAGCGGCAACUGGCAGGCAAUCCUCGGUUAUUGCAAAGAGAAAGGUCUUCUGCGCUGGGAACAACCUCGUCGUAAAACUUGCCUUGGAUCGGCAAACCUCCUAUCCUGUGAAGAUCCCAAAGUGAAAUUGACAUCUCCCCUUGCGCUGUGUGAAGUGUGUUGGUGGUCGAACACCAACACUCUAAGAACGCGCGAAUAACGGAAGGAUGGCGAUCGUAACUAAACAAAGACGCAUACACAGCGUGGUAAAGGUCCACCUUAGUGAGCACAUCCUUAGAUCGGCUUAAGACAUCUUCGAGCCACUCCCAAUAAAACUCAUCAAAAACGGCCUCUCCAGCAGUAGACAAGGUACCAUUCCAAGCCUUAGCUCCGAUGCGGAUGUGAUCACUAAGAAGCUUAAAUGAGGCCGAAUGAUUGUCACCGGCAUGGUGCGACGGAUUCAAGAUAAGAAUCUUCGAGAUGCGCGCCUUCUUCUUCGUAUAUGCUUGGACAGAAUCCACCACAUCCCAAGAUACUUCGGAAGACCACGACUUAAUAUGCAUGGAGUUAUCUUUCGCGGGAAGAGCAAGCGCUUUAGGACCGGUCAGUGGCUCGUAAAGCUUCAACGUCGUUCCUCUGUCUUGCAAGUCACCGGCCUGCGCAAGAAUGGUAAGGGUGCCGCCCUUAAAGCACUUAAAAAAUACCAUGACCUCGAAAAAAAAAAUAAAUAAAUAAAUCAGCAGUAACACGGCAAAGCGGGUAGCUACGAGACAGUCCUUCCAAGCGGCAGCAAAAGGCACUACACAACGAAACCCCGUUGCAGUCCCUUGUGCAAACCCUAGGCAGCAGAAGGCACAAAUAUGCUCACACCCUGCUCACUCCAAAUACCACGCCUCUGAAAGCUUCGUAAUUAAAGAUCCCUAGCAUUACGACAAAGAAAUCCAUCAGUGAAGGAGCGCGCAUUAUGAGAAAUUUUAUAUAUGUGCAGACUGGGACAAACAAAGAAAUCCAAAAAAAAUGGGGACACGCUCCCCACCGUUAGAUUGACUUUAAUGAAAUUGUGUGGUUGAGAUUAAAACACAGGCCAUAGAAUCUCAACCACAGGAUUUCAUUUAAGUCAAAUACAACGGUCGGGAGCGUGUCCCCAUUUUUUUUAAAAAAUGGGGAUCCCUCCCCUUAAGCAAUUCCUAUAUAUAUAUAUAUAUAUAUAUAUAUAUGCAUGCAGAUGGCGGGACAUAGAAACAAAUACAUAUAUAUAUAUAUAUAUAUAUAUGCAUGCAGAGGACCCCACGCCAGCCAAAGGAACAAAUGCAUAUAUAUAUAUAUGGAAAGUCAGCAUGCGGAUGACAAGGGAUGGGACAAGCAAACAUAUAUAUAUAUAUAUAUAUAUAUAUAUGCAUGCAGAGGACGCCACACCAAAGGAACAAAUGCAUGUAUAUAUAUGGAAAGUCAGCAUGCGGAUGACAAGUGAUGGGACAAGCAAACAUAUAUAUAUAUGGGAACUUUAACGAAAAGCACCCGGUACUGUUCACUUUAACGAAAAACCACAUUUUUACACUAAAAAGUCAAUCCUGGUACUAUUCACUUUACCCUUUAUUUUGUCCUUAUCAUUAAAACUCAAAGUUUUCAAAUCUUUUCAUUAGUUUUCCUUAUAUAUAUAUAUGCAUACAGUGGACGGCAUCAAAGAACAAAUGCAUAUAUAUAUAUAUACAUGCAUGUGGAUGACAAGACAAGCAAGCAAAUAAAAUAUAUAUAUAUAUAUAUAUAUAUAUAUAUAUAUAUAUAUAUAUAAGCAAGCAAAUAAAAUAUAUAUAUAUAUAUAUAUAUAUAUAUAUAUAUAUAUAUAUAUAUAUAUAUGCAUGCAGAGAUCCAGGUGACAAGGGGAUCUCGAUCAAGAACAGCCUGCAACCAUGCUCACGCCCUCCUGUAAUCCUGCUCUGCGCACCCAAACCACCUCAAACGAAUCCACGCUGUCGUCCUCACGACCGGCCUCUCGAUCAAGAACAGCCUGCAACCCCAAUCUAACCUACGAUCACAUGCUCCCUAGCAUUUCGUUGGAAUGCAAACGGAUCGUCUCCCUACUGCAGAGGGCCAACAUUUCCAACUUGAUUGGGGUUUAGGGUGCAGUUAAUAUCCAAGGAGAGGACCAGAAGAAACUUGAUGUUGUCUCCAAUGGGUGUUUUCUCUUUCUCUCUCUGGUCUCUGUGGCUCAAAGUAGCAGCGGCUGCAAAAAGUUCAAAUGAAAAUGAGGAAGAGGAAGGGGGCACGGUCCACGGUCCUUCAACAAAUGCCAAAAAAAAAAAAAAAAAAAAAAAAAAAAAACAAACAAACAAACCAGUGAUGAUCUGCUCAGUCAGAUGCGAGUGCUUAGAGAAUGGCGGCUGUGCUCAAUGAUAAGGGCAAGGAUGACAAAGGUGAUGCGGCAAGGAUGGUGGUUGUGCAAUGGCUCGACAGUAACAGUAAGAGGCAGCGAGCAUGCAGUAGCUGCACAAUCGGCCGUGAAAUUGUUGCGUAGUUGGGGUGUUUAGAGAAGCAAGCAAACCUGCGCAAAUACGAAGCAGCAAGCUUUGGUGCCUAAAAGCCUUACGGGAAGGCUUACUUAUACACCCCAAAACAGACCAACAUUACAGAACACAUGCCGCGAAUGAUGAUACUCACAUGCAGCAAUCUUUUGUUAAAGCUGGAAAAGCUUUAAACGCCCAUAUUUACCUGCCAGCAAGCAGCAUAUUUGGGGAAAAAACAAAGACAUACAGCUCUAGCUGUAUGUUUGAGAUUGAAUAAUCACCACGUCGGUCAUCUUCCUACCGUCGGAUAUCUAAUGGCCGCUUGGUGUCAGCACAUCGUGUGUUGAUCUUUUGGCCUCAGUGGCCUCUUAUCCUGAUCCGGACGACAAUAUCAAAACAACCAGAUUCAAGGAUCAAGCAGACGAUACACAAGGCAAGGCCAUACUGCAUGAGCUACAAACCGACAGCAUAGAUACUUCUUUGUUACGACAUGGACAUGAGGAGCAUCUGUUCGAGAAGGCGCUCACCAUCUUAGACGAACGAGAAGCACGUGGACGUGCUGACGGUGUCGCUGUCGCUUAAGAAUGAUGUUGACGGUGACGGCACCAAGCUCACCGACACAGGGAUUAAGUAUGUUGAAGAGGCCGUAUUCAAAUGAUGCGUGCUGACGCUGUUCCUGGGUCCGCCACCUCCAUGGCAUACAUUUCCAGGUCAUGCAUCCAUUUUCCCUUAUCUGUUCAUACUUUCUGAGUGGUCAGACAAAGGGAGAUCGGACAUCACUCAAAACGCUCGAAAUCUGAAGAAAAGCAAAGGCAGAGGUGCAAAGCAAAAGUGAAAAGGAAAAGGAAAAGAGAUAAAAAAAUAAUAAUAUUAAAAAAAAAUAAAAUUAUUACGGUUCAUUUUGUCUGCCAAGAGACAGAGAGAGUUGGUAAAAUAAAUAAAUAAAAUAAAAAAAUAAAAUAAAUAAAUAAAAAUAAAGAAAAGAUGUACAUAUAGACACUAAGUGAAAUAAAGCUCAUUUAUUAAUAUUUUCGAUAAAUUACAAAUAUGUACAUAUACAUAAAUAAAAAAAAUAAACAAACGGGAGAGAGCCUUCACGAAGUUUGCUCGGGCGGAGCCUCAGCAGUCGGCGGGGCCACAGAAGGAGGAGGUGUCGGAGGUUGGUCAUUCAGAGCUUCGCUACGCGGUACAGCCCCAGAAGACGAAGGCAAAUGCUGUUGGAACAAACCCACAAACCUCCGAUGAUCAAGUAAAAUCUGACCAUCAGAUUCCUGCAUCUGGUCAAUUUUCCUCUUCAUGUUUGUGGCAUAGUCGUGUGCGAGCCUGUGCAACUAUUUAUUCUCAUGCUUGAGCCCUCUAAUCUCUUGUUUGAGACUCAUCACUUUAGCCGCCAACGAUUCAACUUGACGGGUUCGAGCAAAUAGGCGUUGAGCCAUGUUGGACACAGAACCCGCACACUGCACACUAAGGGCCAGAGACUCCUUAACAGCCAACUCAUCAGACCGCUUGGAAAACAGUCUGCUAUCUUUAGGAGUGACAAGGUUCCGGGCCACCACCGCAGCGGUCAUAUCAUUCUUCAUCACCGAAUCCCCAACGGUAAGAGGACCAGUAGGGGAUAUGAAUGAUGGGCGCCAUAUGUUGUCAGGAGAAGGCGGGACUGCCUCUUCACCAAGGUUCAAAUCGAAACGACGGUCGGAGGGUCCAGACAUUUUCAAAGGUGUUGAAGAAAGAAGAGGUCAGACAGAUCAAGAUCUUAGAAGUGCAAGAAGGGAGUUUCUGCAAGCGAAAAUUCAAGUGUGCUUUGAAACGAACUGCGUGCCUCUAUAAAAAUCAGCACUCAGCGGGCUUUCAGAGAUGGAAGAGGCAAGCUCAGAAUUCGAAGAGGCCAAUUCAAAAAUCGAAGAGGCAAGCUCAGAAAUCGGAGAGACAUCUUGCUUUUCCAGACGCGUCAGCACCCAUCACACGCAAACUCAGCUUUGCGGAAAUCACGGGUGAUUUGUCGAAGCGCCGAUCCCAGAUAUCGAGGAGACGCCAGUCUUUUCCAGACACAUCAGCACCUGUCACAUGCACACUCAGCUUGGCGGAAAUUACGGACAAUUUGUCGAAGAUUGCUGAUAAAGAAGAAAGCACGUGAAGCCAUACUGAUCAAAUCACGCAUUGGUUACUGACACGAGUGAAAGAACAGUACCUCUACAGGUAUUAAGGAACUCCCUAUAACUGUCCACCUUCACCCUCCAUAGCAAGGCAGACAUACGAAACCUUUCUUCAUCUCCGAGAAUGCCUUCCCAACGAAGCCUCUCGAGUCACUCAAUGUUCCUUAUUCCUUGGGGUACCUCUGCAAGCCAAUGACUCCAAAGCAAAAGUAUCUCAUAUCACCAGGGUAUAAAGCAAGAGUAUCUCAUAUCAUGCGUUCUCCCUGUCCUUUCCUUUGUCCUUGUUCUUACCUACAAAGACAAGGAUAAAGAAAACAAUAUGCCGGAACUUCCACUCAAACUCGGGUAAGGAACCGACUGCUUGGAACCCUUCCCUGAUUGCCUACCUAGCACUGCUCUCGAGUACUCGUUUCCCACUGCUGCUGUACUUCCAAAGAAGCUGCCACAUCUGCCUGGAGAACAGAUAAGGCAAAUGAAAAUGAUACCUUGCAGCAUGUGGAGACAAGGUGCAGAAGGAACAAGCAGAGAAGAAUGCAGUCUGCACAGUCAACUCAGCAGAAAGAGUCCGAGCUGAAGAACUCGAGAAGCUGCCAUAUCUGCCUGAAGAAACAAGCAGAGAAGAAUGCCGUAUGCUCAGUCAACUCGGCAGAAAGAGUCUGAGAUGAAGAACUCGAGAAGAUGCCACAUCUGCCUGAGGAACAGAUAAAGGAAAUGAAGAUGAUACCUUGAAGCAUGUGGAGACAAGUGCAACCAAGCACGUACUGAUUCAUCCGCUACUUCUUCAAAAGCAAGAGUAUCUCAUAUCAUCAAAGUUGCAAUCACUCUGACGGUGAAUUCGUUUUGACCCUCAAAUUCUUGGGUCGGUUUACUAGGCGAUGUGGGCUGCACGUGCCGAUUCACCACCAUUGAAUCAAAUCCUUAAAAGAUCAAGUCACCAACUGGAAGAAUAGCCCGUCAAUCUUGAAGAUCAUACCGUUGACCAAACUGCUCAGGUGUGAAUUAGAAAGAUUGAACAGAGCAAUAAGUCGUCACCUUCACCUCGUGCCUGCUUGCCAUGUGUUCGAGUUAACCUUCAAGAAUCAAGCCUCAACGGCCCUUGAAGAAGCUUUCAGCCAAAUUCAAAAUCAAGCCUUGACGGCCCUGGAAGAAAUCACAAGUCCGAUUCAAGAUCAAGUGUCUACCACUCUUGAAUCAAAACCUAGUUCAAGAAUAAGCUGUGGAAAAUCAACAAUUGGAGGAAUCCAGAAAACCCUCCAACCCAGUUCAAGAUCAAAGCUGUGGAAAGUCAACAAGCGCAACAAAAUACGUGCCGAUUCACCCACUACCGAAGCCAAAGAUCAUCUACCACAUGAAACUCCUUGUGGUCCAAUUUCAACCUUCAAGAUCAAGUCUCGACGGCCCUUGAAGAAAUUUCAAACAAAAGUUCAAGAACAAGCCUCAACGGCCCUUGAAGAAAUCUCAAGCCCAAUUCAAGAUCAAGCCUCAACGGCCCUUGAAGAAAUCUCCAGCCCAAUUCAAGAUCAAGCCUCGACGGCCCUUAGAUCGACAUCUACAGUAAGGGACUUCAAAACGCAUCUCUUACACGUGACAAGCACAUGUAUACGACGCGCCUUGAAGUGGGGGCAUUUGUAGACAUCAAAAUUUCGGUAAAUAAAUGUUGACCGAUAAAUCAAAGUGUCAACGCUCAUGUAUUACAUAAAUUUUACACGUAACGUGUGAUUCAACGAAAAUUGAAAUGAGUUGGAAAAGUCAUCAAAUAGGACACAUGUCAACACCUGGCAGAAACGACUUAUUUCGUCUGGGAUAUUAUAUUCAAAAUUAGGCUUUGGAAAAUUCUAUAAAUACAAGCCCAUUUCAUUCAUUUGGGGGACCAAUGGAUAUGACACCUUGAAGCUCUGAAGCUCUGAAACCCCGAAGCUCUCAAGCAUCCAAGUUCCCGAAGAAUCAAGAAAGCCUUCUUCGUUCUUCGUUCAUCGUUCUUCCAAGAUCAAGCCCCGACGGCCUUUGGAUCAACAACAUCAACAAAUCCACACAUCCGACCGUUCUUCAAGAUCAAGCCCCGACGGCCCUUGGAUCAACAACAUCAACAAAUUUACACAUCCAAUCGUUCUUCAAGAUCAAGCCCAAAAGCCCUUUGAAGAUCCGUUCAUCCAUCAACCUUCAAGAUCAAGCCCAAAAGCCAUUGAAGAAACGCUCAUCCUCAAGAUCAAGCCCCAACGGCUCCUUGAAGACCCGCUCAAAAUCCACCUUCAAAUAUCAAGCCCACGGCCCUUGAAGAACGUUCAUCCUUAGAUCAAGCUCAACGGCCCUUGGAUCAAUCGCAUAUCCACAAAUCAACACCUUACGGAGAUUGAAUCAGAGGAUCAAAUAGAAGAGAGAUUGUAACCCAAAAUCAUCAAACACAAAUAUUUGUUUGUGCACGUUAUUUCUUGUCUCUUUCGUUUUCAGGAAUUUUCCGUGUUCACAGCGUCAUCAUCCAAACCCACAUUUGGUUAAAUUUUCAUUUUCAGUAUACUCAAAACACGAUGGUGCUAUGUUACUGUGUAAGUGGAGGGAAGUUUUUUCAAGUGUCCAUCCAUUUAUAUAUGACAUAUGUGCCCGUGUCUCAGGCACUGGAGCUUCUAAAGGUGUGCACUAACGUACUCGAAGAAGUAGAGAAAUCCUUCGUAUUCCCAAAUCCAAGACCGGUGCCACGGCUUUCUCUGCUGGAAGAACAAGCUGCAAAGCAACCAAGGGGUGGACGAAUACGUGUGGCAAGACGUGACGACGCUGUUGAAGGCUUAGGCGACAUUGCUGGAGACGAGGGCGAAAUUGCUGCUUUGAGGCGGGCAUUUCGACAGCGACGAAGAGCUGUGCGGGACUUGUAGCAGCAUCAGAGCAGUGAUGCUUUGGCAUAACCAUGCCCAGACAUUGGCAGCCCGAGAAACUUUGGCAAAGUUAGUGAGACUGAGAAGCAAGAUUUAAUGAAAUGAAAAUCUCUGUUGCUUUGGACACAAGCAAUCCUUCGUUCCAUGAGGAACUCGGUUUUGUUAACACUUGUAAUCAAAUCUUAGUUUAGUUUGUAAUAUCAGCAAUUUAGUAGACCUUAUAACUUCUUCAAGUAAGAGAAUAAGAGCACAGAAAUUUGGCAGUUUUUUUUUUCCUUCAAUUUUGCACAAUAAAAUUUCAUUUUUUACAGGCGAUUUUAUACUUUAAACUAACUAAAUUGCAGAAAAAAGCUCGAGUGCGUAUGAAUGAAUGCAUUUACAUAUUAGAGAAUACAUUUGCUCUAGCCAAACAAGCGUUAAAAUCAAGGGUCCCAUUUUGAUAGAUAAAGCAAUAAAAGGUUUGCCAGGUGUGAAGUGACAUGGUCCAUAACAUGUGUUAUGGUUAGGGUGACAAGGACCUUUCUUCUAUCACUUUAAAUAGACUGCAUACACACUUAAGUGCAAUUCAGUACAACUAAAUCAAGGUAAUAUUUGAGCAUGAACAUAGAAAUUCGGAUUUGGUUAGAUAAGUUGGUCAGAGCAGUGUUUUUGGUUACUUUUUAUCCGAAUUCAAAUUUUCUCCUUGUGAGUUAGAGUAAAAAGGCGACCACGAGCCAACAAGACUCUCCACUUUAUGAGAGUUAGGUUAUGAAUGUUUAUCGUAGGCAGCCUUAACCUUGUUUUGCAAAGAGACUGUUUUCAAGACUCGAACCCGUAGUCUUUUGGUUACAAAGAAGCAACAAUUCCGUUACGCCAAGAUUCGCCCUCGAAUGAUUUAGCGACACAAGUGAAAAUGAAAUCAAAUGUUUUCAUUCCAUGAAAAUAGAAUCCACAAAUCAAUGUUACAAAGGGAAACACAGUCCAUUGUCAAUUACAUAUUUACACACACAAAUCAAUCCAACCCAACACACCAAAAUCCAAAAAACCACCCCAAAAAAAUUCAAAAAUAUUAAAUUAAAAUAAAUUAAAACGACAAACAUUUCUUUGUCGCUUGUUUUGAAGUCACACAAAAUUACACACCAAACCCGAAUUAAAAAAAAAAACAAAUAAUUGAAUUAUCAGACUGAUGAAGAUGUGGGCCCAAUCAAUCCCUGAGAAGCAGCUUCAUUCUCGUUGAGAAACAAGCCUUCUGUGUUCCGAAGCAGCCCGUGGACCCCACACAACACAAGCCCAACUCCGAGGCCCAAUGUAACGUUCACAAGCCCACUGCUCGCCCAAGCAACCAAACCAGAAACAACCACCAGGCCCGCCAUCACGGCCCAAUCGCUGACGUGGUGACCCCACACAUCAAGUGGGUCUUCCCUAAAAACAUAGAUCAACAGCCACAACCCCACGACGGCCGCCGUCGCCAAUAGUCAUCUGGGGCUCCCGAUGAGGGAUAGCGCCCCGCAUGAUCCGAUCAAUAACAAGUAAUUGACCCGGAAGUGGUUGGCGUUGGUCUGGAUACGGGUCAGGGCGGAGGAUAAGGAGUCGGGUCGGGAGAUCGAGGAGGCGAAUUCGGACGAAGGGCGGCGGCGGGAAACGGCGUCGUUGAGAUUUUUGAUGGAUCGGGUGAUGGCGUCGGAGCCCGAGACGGAAAUGGGUAUGCUGGUAUAGGUUGUUGCUGUGACGGAGUGUGACUGUGGCUUUGACGGCGACAUUUUUUGGAGUGGGAGUUUGAAUGUUUGACUCGUCAACCUACCCUUCAACUCUGUGAAGUCCGUGUGACUGGGAUUUUAUUCCAUCCGAUCCAAAUUGUGGAGAUCUUAUAAAUUCCUACAUUUUAACUAUUUAUCGUGCAUUGUAUAAUUAAAAAUUAUUUAAUUUUUUAUUUAAAAUUGAACAUAAAUACUUGAUGAAAAUUGAUAAUACGAUAUAUGAUGAACGGUUAAAAUAUGAGGAUCGGAAGACGAUCGUCUUCCCGUGAGGCUGUGACAGUCUCUGUCAGUUUGAUUGGUUGGUGAGUGGGAUUGUGUAGGACAGACAGGGAAGAUGAAGACUUGGGUUGGUUUGUGGAGUUUCCCUACUUUGUAGUAAAAUGGUAAAAAAUGUUGUGUACAUUGUGACAUUUUACAAUUACUUAGCCCCUUAGACCAUCUUCAAUUCUUGGGUUAAAAGCCAAAUUUUUUAGCCCAGAAACAUCUUUUCUGCUCCAAUCCUUCUGCCCUAAAAUUUUAGCCCGAAAUUAUUAAAGAAUGAACUUAGGCUAAUUUUUUUCUUAAAUUAAUUUUAAAAAAAAUUAAAUAAAUAUGUAGAUUAUUGUAAAUUAAUUUUAUGAACAUUUUAAUCUAAAAAAAUUUAAAUUCCGAUAAACAUUUGGCAUUUAGCCCGGGGGGAAAGCUGAGGGGUAUUUGGCCCAGAAAUAACAUUUGGCAUUUAGCCUAAAAUUUUAACAUGGGUUGGAAAGUGUUUGGGGGGGGGGUAAUUUGACUUUUAGCCCAGGUUUGGAGAUAGUCUUAAGAGAAAGGGAAUUCUAUUUUUUUUAAAUGGAAAUUAAUUGUGGGAUUCACUUUGCAUUGAAUUUUAACGAUUCGAACUGUUUAUUAUGUAAGUCUCGAUUUAUAGAUCAUCCUUAUAAAAAUUCAAUUCAAUUCGAAAUCAUUUGCUUAUUUAAUUAUCAAAAUAAAAUUUCAAAAUUUGUUGGAUAACAAAAUGUUCGUAAAUAUUUGUUAGCUUUUGCUUAAUUUAAUCGGGUUUUUCUAUGAAUCAAACCGAACUCUUUUCAGUAAUCCUGUAUGUUGGUUUUGUGGGCCAUCUUUGUUGCUUCCAAUCUGUCGAAACAUGGAUCCAUGAUGAUGAUGAUGCCUUUUGAUAAAUUUUCACCUUCUUUUUCCUUCUUAUUUUCAAGUCACUAAUGAGGAUUUGGUAUUUUGGCACAAAAAAGAAA